rnacentral:rRNA from 1 species
UCCGUAGGUGAACCUUGCGGAAGGAUCAUUACCGAGUGAGGGCCCUCUGGGUCCAACCUCCCACCCGUGUCUAUCGUACCUUGUUGCUUCGGCGGGCCCGCCGUUUCGACGGCCGCCGGGGAGGCCUUGCGCCCCCGGGCCCGCGCCCGCCGAAGACCCCAACAUGAACGCUGUUCUGAAAGUAUGCAGUCUGAGUUGAUUAUCGUAAUCAGUUAAAACUUUCAACAACGGAUCUCUUGGUUCCGGCAUCGAUGAAGAACGCAGCGAAAUGCGAUAAGUAAUGUGAAUUGCAGAAUUCAGUGAAUCAUCGAGUCUUUGAACGCACAUUGCGCCCCCUGGUAUUCCCGGGGGCAUGCCUGUCCGAGCGUCAUUGCUGCCCUCAAGCACGGCUUGUGUGUUGGGCCCCCGUCCCCCUCUCCCGGGGGACGGGCCCGAAAGGCAGCGGCGGCACCGCGUCCGGUCCUCGAGCGUAUGGGGCUUUGUCACCUGCUCUGUAGGCCCGGCCGGCGCCAGCCGACACCCAACUUUAUUUUUCCAAGGUUGACCUCGGAUCAGGUAGGGAUACCCGCUGAACUUAAGCAUAUCAAUAAGCGGAGGA